AUUGAACGCUGGCGGCAGGCCUAACACAUGCAAGUCGAGCGGAUGACAGGAGCUUGCUCCUGGACUCAGCGGCGGACGGGUGAGUAAUGCCUAGGAAUCUGCCUGGUAGUGGGGGACAACGUUUCGAAAGGAACGCUAAUACCGCAUACGUCCUACGGGAGAAAGCAGGGGACCUUCGGGCCUUGCGCUAUCAGAUGAGCCUAGGUCGGAUUAGCUAGUUGGUGAGGUAAUGGCUCACCAAGGCGACGAUCCGUAACUGGUCUGAGAGGAUGAUCAGUCACACUGGAACUGAGACACGGUCCAGACUCCUACGGGAGGCAGCAGUGGGGAAUAUUGGACAAUGGGCGAAAGCCUGAUCCAGCCAUGCCGCGUGUGUGAAGAAGGUCUUCGGAUUGUAAAGCACUUUAAGUUGGGAGGAAGGGUUGUAGAUUAAUACUCUGCAAUUUUGACGUUACCGACAGAAUAAGCACCGGCCAACUCUGUGCCAGCCGCCGCGGUAAAAC
rnacentral:rRNA from 1 species